rnacentral:ncRNA from 1 species
GGAACCGCAGGUUCGGCCAUUUGGUUCAUGAAUUCGGUCGAGCGGUCGGUGGUGCGAAGCUACCAUCCGUGGGAUUAUGCCUGAACGCCUCUAAGGCCGUAUCCUCUCUAGUCAAAGGAGGCAAUGAUAUUUCUAGGAGUCUCGUGAGUCGAAAGGCUCAAAACAAUGUGACACUACUAGGCGACCGGUCCAAGGGCCGCUCGUCGCACGAGCCCGGUUUGCCGCAUUGCCCCAUCGCCCGUAGUCGGGAACUCACCAUACGGCACAGGGUCUAGCGGUCGAUCGUGGGUUUCGCAAGUUCGAUGUCGAGACUCGGAAUCGUCUGUAGACGACUUAGGUACCUGGCGGGGUGUUGUACUCGGUAGAGCAGUUACCACGCUGCGAUCUGUUGAGACUCAGCCCUCGGCUUGGGGAUUCGU